rnacentral:rRNA from 1 species
CUGUCCUACGGGGGGCAGCAGUGAGGAAUAUUGGUCAAUGGGAGAGAUCCUGAACCAGCCAAGCCGCGUGAGGGAGGAAGGCGCAGAGCGUCGCAGACCUCUUUUGCCGGGGGACAAAAGGCCGGACGGGUCCGGUUCUGAGGGUACCCGGAGAAAAAGCAUCGGCUAACUCCGUGCCAGCAGCCGCGGUAAUACGGAGGAUGCGAGCGUUAUCCGGAUUCAUUGGGUUUAAAGGGUGCGCAGGCGGGCCUUUAAGCCGGC